AUUGAACGCUGGCGGCAGGCCUAACACAUGCAAGUCGAACGGUAACAGGAAGAAGCUUGCUCCUUUGCUGACGAGUGGCGGACGGGUGAGUAAUGUCUGGGAAACUGCCUGAUGGAGGGGGAUAACUACUGGAAACGGUAGCUAAUACCGCAUAACGUCGCAAGACCAAAGAGGGGGACCUUCGGGCCUCUUGCCAUCGGAUGUGCCCAGAUGGGAUUAGCUAGUUGGUGGGGUAACGGCUCACCAAGGCGACGAUCCCUAGCUGGUCUGAGAGGAUGACCAGCCACACUGGAACUGAGACACGGUCCAGACUCCUACGGGAGGCAGCAGUGGGGAAUAUUGCACAAUGGGCGCAAGCCUGAUGCAGCCAUGCCGCGUGUAUGAAGAAGGCCUUCGGGUUGUAAAGUACUUUCAGCGGGGAGGAAGGCGGUGAGGUUAAUAACCUCACUGAUUGACGUUACCCGCAGAAGAAGCACCGGCUAACUCCGUGCCAGCAGCCGCCGUAA
rnacentral:rRNA from 1 species